CAGUUAAAAAGCUCGUAGUUGGAUUUCGGGAUGGGCCAGUCGGUCCGCCUAACGGUGUGUUUACUGGCUGGUCUGUUCUUCUUCGCAAAGACUGCGUGUGCUCUUCAGUGAGUGUGCGUAGGAUUUACGACGUUUACUUUGAAAAAAUUAGAGUGUUCAAAGCAGGCAUACCGCUUGAAUACAUGAGCAUGGAAUAAUGGAAUAGGACUUUGGUCUUAUUUUGUUGGUUUCUGAGACCGAAGUAAUGAUUAAGAGGGACAGUUGGGGGCUUCGUAUUUCGUUGUCAGAGGUGAAAUUCUUGGAUUUACAAGACA
rnacentral:rRNA from 1 species